rnacentral:tRNA from 1 species
CAGAAACUAGUUUAUUAAAAUAGUUAUUUUAGGAACAACAGACAAAUAUUUAUAUUAUCUUUCCCUGA